AACGCACAUUGCGCCCCUUGGUAUUCCGAGGGGCAUGCCUGUUCGAGCGUCAUUUCACCAAUCAAGCCACGCUUGGUCUUGGGAGUUGGCCUCCGUCCGACGGAGGCCCCCCCGAAAUGCAUCGGCGAGGAAACCGACCCCCGGCGUGUUAGAUUUCUGAACGUCAGGUGCACCGGUAGACUCGGCCGUACAAUCUUUUUUUUUACAAGGUUGACCUCGGAUCAGGUAGGAAUACCCGCUGAACUUAA
rnacentral:misc_RNA from 2 species